rnacentral:rRNA from 1 species
GAUUAACGCUAGCGGCAGGCAUAAUACAUGUAAGUUGAACGGCAGCACAGGUAGCAAUACUGGGUGGCGAGUGGCGCACGGGUGCGUAACACGUAUGCAACCUACCCUAUACAGGCGAAUAACCUUUAGAAAUGAGGGCUAAUACGCCGUAGUAUUACAGAUGGGCAUCUAUUUGUAAUUAAAGAUUUAUCGGUAUAGGAUGGGCAUGCGUCCCAUUAGUUAGUUGGUAAGGUAACGGCUUACCAAGACGAUGAUGGGUAGGGGAUCUGAGAGGACUUACCCCCACACUGGUACUGAGACACGGACCAGACUCCUACGGGAGGGAGCAGUAAGGGAGAUUGAGCAAUGGCCGCGAGGCUGACCCAGCCAUGCCGCGUGCAGGAAGACGGCCUUAUGGGUUGUAAACUGCUUUUAUACGGGAAUAAUAGAGUGUACGCGUACAUUUAUGCAAGUAUCGUAUGAAUAAGCAUCGGCUAACUCCGUG